CUUUUUUCUCACCCAGGGAAAAAGCACCAAAAUGGUGAAGAAUUUCAUUUCUGGCUGCCCAGGAAGGCAGGUGGCUCCCGGCACCCAAGAAAUGCCCUCAAUGCCCCGGGGAUGCUCGUUUGGUACCGAGGGAGAAGAAACCAACCCAGGCUGACUCCGGCAAGUUUGAAAAUGAGCAGGGCUCCUGGCUGCGGGGGACACGCCAGUUCUCCGGCAGACAGAGGUGGGAGUUCUCCUUUGGUGUUUUAAAAAUAGAACUACAAAGAGAGGCGGGCGGGAUSCUGRCAGCGWGCGGAGCGGGGACAGCG